rnacentral:rRNA from 1 species
UACGGGGGGGGCAAGCGUUGUUCGGAAUUACUGGGCGUAAAGGGCUCGUAGGCGGCCAACUAAGUCAGACGUGAAAUCCCUCGGCUUAACCGGGGAACUGCGUCUGAUACUGGAUGGCUUGAGAUUGGGAGAGGGAUGCGGAAUUCCAGGUGUAGCGGUGAAAUGCGUAGAUAUCUGGAGGAACACCGGUGGCGAAGGCGACAUCCUGGACCAACACUGACGCUGAGGAGCGAAAGCGUGGGGAGCGAACAGG